UACGUAGGGAGCAAGCGUUGUCCGGAAUCAUUGGGCGUAAAGCGCGCGUAGGCGGCCCUGUAAGUCCGUUGUGAAAGUCAAAGGCUCAACCUUUGAAAGCCGAUGGAUACUGCAGGGCUAGAGUCCGGAAGAGGCGAGUGGAAUUCCUGGUGUAGCGGUGGAAUGCGCAGAUAUCAGGAGGAACACCGGUGGCGAAGGCGGAUCUCUGGGCCUUGCCUGACGCUGAGGCGCGAAAGCUAGGGGAGCGAACAGG
rnacentral:rRNA from 1 species